ensembl:lncRNA
CACCUGGCAGGAAUCCUGAGUACAACCUCCCUCCUCCUCCUCCCGCCUUGGCCUGGCAGAGGAAUAGGGGAGGAAGGGGGGGUUACCUCUGCAGAUGGUGAUGUCUCCUGCUGGGUCCCAGGCUGGGGGGAGGGGCUCCUCAGAGGAAAGGAAGGAGAGUCUCUGUAGGGCAGGCCCUUCUGGGCUGGGGGAAGGGUGUGGGAGUGAUGCUCUCACCUCCCAAUUAGCCAUCUUGUUAGGCAAGGACCACAGCCUGUACCAGGAAGGCCUCUCUGAUAAAGAGUCAGAUGCACAGGAAGUGAGGGAACAAGCCGCAGAAAUGGAUUUGUAGGGAAGAGCAGUCCAGACAAAAGGGACAGCCAGGGCCAAGCCUGGGAGGCAAAAGCCAGCUUGGAGGGCGUGAGAGAUCACUAGAAGGCCAGCAUGGCUAGAGCGAGUGGGCAAGGGGCUCGGGGAUGAGACAAGGUCGGUUUCCUGGACCAGAGCGUGCAGUCCUUACAGGCCACGGUGCAGCUGUGUGGGAAACAAGGAGCUACUGCAGGAGCUUGAGCAGAGAAGUGGUGUCUGCUUGAAACUGGCAGAGGAUCGCUCUGGCUGUUCGUGAGUGCAGGAAUCCCAUGUCUCAGACCCAAGUGGAGAUGGUAUGAAGGGAUCCAGUUCUAGACACGGUUUGAAGGUAGAGCUGACGGGACAUGCUGAUGGAUUGGAGAGGCACUAGGAGCUGCAUGAAAUCACAUGCAUAAAAGCCCUUCCCUUCCUCUCUGCCUGGAGACUUCCCACAGCCAGGAGCAAAUGUGCCCAAGACCCCCAGGCUCAAAGGGAGAGCAGUGUCUGGGGAACCUGGACCCUCACAGAGGAAGCAGGUAAGUGUCAAGACAGGCUGGUCCAAGGACUCAUUGUCACAUUAGGGAAACUGAUUCUCAGAGCACACGUGGCUUUGUUUCUCACCGUAAUAAGAGGCAGAGUUGGUUUAAACCCAGCCUUUCCAGCACUCGGUGCUCAUCAGGACAGAGGGAGUCAGGGGACCCAGCCUGCCUAGGCUACCAUCAGCACAAAGCCUGCCUAGGACACGUCCUUGCUUUUCUGUGAGUCAG